AGAUGAGGAGAGAGGUGGAGAGAGAGAUGAGGAGAGAGGUGGAGAGAGAGAUGAGGAGAGAGGUGGAGAGAGAGAUGAGGAGAGAGGUGGAGAGAGAGAUGAGGAGAGAGGUGGAGAGAGAGAUGAGGAGAGAGGUGGAGAGAGAGAUGAGGAGAGAGGUGGAGAGAGAGAUGAGGAGAGAGGUGGAGAGAGAGAUGAGGAGAGAGGUGGAGAGAGAGAUGAGGAGAGAGGUGGAGAGAGAGAUGAGGAGAGAGGUGGAGAGAGAGAUGAGGAGAGAGGUGGAGAGAGAGAUGAGGAGAGAGGUGGAGAGAGAGAUGAGGAGAGAGGUGGAGAGAGAGAUGAGGAGAGAGGUGGAGAGAGAGAUGAGGAGAGAGGUGGAGAGAGAGAUGAGGAGA